rnacentral:rRNA from 1 species
AACGAACGCUGGCGGCAGGCCUAACACAUGCAAGUCGAACGCCCCGCCAGGGGAGUGGCGGUCGGGUGGGUAACGCGUGGGAACAGACCCAUUUCUACGGAAUAGCCCUGUGAAACGGGGAUGAAUACCGUAGACGACUUACGGUGGUAAGGUCUAUCGGGUAAGGAUUGGGGCUCGGGGGCUUAGCAAGUUGGUGGGGUAAAUGCGUACCAAGGCGACUAGCCAGAGCGUGUCUGAGAGGCUGAUCAGACACACGGGGACUGGGACGCGGCCCAGACUCCUACACGAGGCAGCAGUGGGGGAUAUUGGACUAUCGGCUCGAGCCUGAUCCAGCCAUGCCGCGUGAGUGAUGAAGGCCUUAGAGUUGUAAAGCACUUUAACCGAUGAAGAUAAUGACGGUAGUCGGAGAAGAAGCCCCGGCUAACUUCGUG